rnacentral:rRNA from 1 species
CCUAAGGUAGCGAAAUUCCUUGUCGGGUAAGUUCCGACCUGCACGAAUGGCGUAACGACUUCCCCGCUGUCUCCAACAUAGACUCAGCGAAAUUGAAUUACCGGUCAAGAUGCCGGUUACCCGCGGUUAGACGGAAAGACCCCGUGCACCUUUACUACAACUUCACACUGGCAUUAGGCCGAACAUGUGCAGGAUAGGUGGUGGGCUUUGAAGCGUGGACGCCAGUCUGCGUGGAGCCUCCCUUGAGAUACCACCCUUGUUCUGCUUGAUGUCUAACCGCGGUCCGUUAUCCGGAUCCGGGACCCUGUGUGGUGGGUAGUUUGACUGGGGCGGUCGCCUCCUAAAUCGUAACGGAGGCGCGCGAAGGUUGGCUCAGAGCGGUCGGAAAUCGCUCGUUGAGUGCAAUGGCAGAAGCCAGCCUGACUGCGAGACUGACAAGUCGAGCAGAGUCGAAAGACGGCCAUAGUGAUCCGGUGGUCCCAAGUGGGAGGGCCAUCGCUCAACGGAUAAAAGGUACGCCGGGGAUAACAGGCUGAUACUGCCCAAGAGUCCAUAUCGACGGCAGUGUUUGGCACCUCGAUGUCGGCUCAUCUCAUCCUGGGGCUGGAGCAGGUCCCAAGGGUACGGCUGUUCGCCGUUUAAAGAGGUACGUGAGCUGGGUUUAGAACGUCGUGAGACAGUUCGGUCCCUAUCUGCCGUGGGUGUAGGAUACUUGAGAGGAGUUGCCCCUAGUACGAGAGGACCGGGGUGAACGAUCCACUGGUGGACCAGUUGUUAUGCCAAUAGCAGUGCUGGGUAGCUAUGAUCGGACAGGAUAACCGCUGAAGGCAUCUAAGCGGGAAGCCCCCCUCAAAACAAGGUAUCCCUGAGAGCCGAGAUAGACCAUCUCGUCGAUAGGCCAGAGAUGUAAGCGUAGUAAUACGUUCAGUUGACUGGUACUAAUUGCUCGAUAGGCUUGAUUUG